rnacentral:lncRNA from 1 species
AGAACACGAACCCUAGGUGGGAAAAUUGAAGAAAAAGUGUGGGAUUUCAAGGAUUAAGCUAAUUUGUGGAGGGGCAUUUUAGUAAUUUCCAAGGGAGUGGAUAAGCUUGGGCCAUAAAUAUCCUCUCCUUCUAGCAACUUCUUGGGAUUUCUAACAGCUUCUUCUUCUUGUUCUCUUCCCUCUCACGUUUCUUCAAUUCCUCCAUGGAAGCUUGAUGUGAAGCUUUCAUAACUUUCUCUCUCUAGCUCUAAUUUUCAUACCUUGGUGCCCUUUUGACUAGAACCCUUGUAUUCUUCCACUCUCUCACUUUAAAACCCUUGAAAAUGAUGAAAAUCUUGUUUCCAUAAUCUCUCACUAGUUAGGUGUUUUAGGGAGAGAAAGAGGAAGCUUUAUUAAUAGCUUGAGAGCUUUUGGAAAGAAGUUCAAAGUUACAAAGCUAUCAAGGUGAGUAGUAAACUAGUAUUGGGUUUUAAGUGUUGAGAAUGACUAGAGAUUUGAUUUGUGAAUAUUUUGUAGUUGAGAUUGUUAAUUCACUUUGGAGUGAUAGGAAAGUGAAAAUGGAUGGCCAUUUAAAGGGUAAUUGAAAGCUAGCUAAAAGAUAGCUUUUAGAGUUUAUAGUAUGUAAAUUAACAUUAUGGAAAUGUUAAUUUGAUGGUAGGUGCUAACGAAGCCCUAUCACCCCAAUUGGAUCAUUAGGGGGAUUAAGAGUCGGCUAAAGGCUCAACAAAUACUGGUGAGUGGACUUGCAUUUCAAACUUGUUUUAGGGAAUAUGAAAGAUUCUAUCCAACUUGUCUUAGAAAAUGUAUCUUGAGAACAAGCUUUUAGUAAAAUGAUUUUAUAUUGUGAAAAUGUGCUAUACAAUGGUUUAUGUGUUAUCACAAUAUGAUAAAAUGCAUGAUAUGCAUUGGAUGCUUCUUUGCAUGUUGAUGUGGACCUGACUAUGUGCGAGUAGGAGUGCACAUAAGUCGUUGCUGACCCGACUAUGUGUGAGUGGGA